rnacentral:rRNA from 1 species
AACGUAGGUGGCGAGCGUUAUCCGGCUUUACUGGGCGUAAAGCGUGUGCAGGCGGCUUAUCAAGUGGUGUAUGAAAUAUCCAGGCUCAACCUGGAGGGGUUAUGCCAGACUGGUAGGCUAGAGUGCGAGAGAGGGGCGUGGAAUUCCGGGUGUAGUGGUGAAAUGCGUAGAGAUCCGGAGGAACCCCAGAGGCGAAGGCGGCGCCCUGGCUCGACACUGACGCUCAGACACGACAGCAUGGGGAGCGAACGGG